rnacentral:lncRNA from 1 species
AUGCCACCACAGCAUGGCUUGACAAGUGGUGCUAGGUCUGCACCCGGGAUCUGAACCUGUGAAACCUGGGCUGCUGAAGUGGAGCACGUGAACUUAACCACUACACCACCAGGCCGGACCCCCAAUUUACAUUUUUAACAGCUGAUACUUCAAGGAAUAUUGUUCUAGUGUCUAUGAUUGUUGCUGUUAGCAAGUAUGUUCCGCAAAGUCACCCUAGAGCCUGGCAAGAUAUGAGGAAAUUGUCAACUGAGUCAAUCACUUCAAGAAAGCUGACUGCAAUGCAUACAGGGCCUGACAUGGCCGUUGAGCAUGCAGUGUAUAUCUGAUUUAAGCAUAUGCUAUGUCCCAAAGACAGAAGAAUUGGCCUUAAAAUAAAGAUACAACUUCUCCCACAUUGGCAUUUCCUUAAGGAUAAGCAUCUUUCCUUAGGCUAGGAACUGACUGCUGUGCUCACCUGUGACCACCCAGCUCACUUGUGACCACCCCGCUCACCUGUGACCAC